rnacentral:rRNA from 1 species
AUGUUCGGUUAAGUCCGCUAACGAGCGCAACCCCUGCCGUGUGUUACAUGUGUCACACGGGACUGCUAGUCUUAAGCUGGAGGAAGGUGGGGAUGACGUCAAGUCAGCAUGACCUUUAUGUCCUGGGCUACACACACGCUACAAUGGGUAGUACAACGGGUAGCGAAGCCGCGAGGCGGAGCCAAUCCACAAAGCUAUCCUCAGUUCAGAUUGCAGGCUGCAACCCGCCUGCAUGAAGAUGGAGUUGCUAGUAACCGCAGGUCAGCUAUACUGCGGUGAAUACGUUCCCGGGCCUUGUACACACCGCUCGUCACGUCAUGGGAGCUGGUAACACCUGAAGCCGGUAUCCUAACCGUAAGGAGGGAGCCGUCGAGGGUGGGACUGGUGACUGGGACGAAGUCGUAACAAGGUAGCCG